GUAGAAUUAAAUAAUAGGUGUGCGUUCUUUAUUAGUGAGAACUCCCCCCAUCCCCCAAAUACUUCCUCUAUACUAUAUUAAGAGCUGUUUAUGUUGUGUUUAACAUAUUUUACCAGUUCAGCUAUAUAAUUUAGAGGUUGUGCCAGCCAGUAAUGCCCCCAUACCGAUGUACCUAUCACUGUAUCAGUGAUCUCCCAGGUUAGUCCCCCUGAAGUUAAUGCACCCAGUGCCCGGGUUAAUGAGGUGCCCCCGCUCCCCCCUCC